rnacentral:rRNA from 1 species
UACGUAGGUGGCAAGCGUUGUCCGGAUUUACUGGGCGUAAAGAGCGCGCAGGCGGUUGUCCAAGUCGAAUGUGAAAGCCCCCGGCUCAACUGGGGAGGGUCAUUCGAUACUGUUCGACUCGAAGGCAGGAGAGGGAAGUGGAAUUCCGGGUGUAGUGGUGAAAUGCGCAGAUAUCAGGAGGAACACCGGUGGCGAAGGCGGCUUUCUGGGCCUUACCUGACGCUGAGGAGCGAAAGCUGGGGGAGCAAACAGG